rnacentral:rRNA from 1 species
GAUGAACGCUGGCGGCGUGCCUAAUACAUGCAAGUCGAGCGAAGCGGGGACGGGGGAGUACCACGUGGGUAGCCUCCUAUACGACUGGGGUAACUUCGGGAAACCGGAGCUAAACCGGAUACUUAUAGAUGAAUCCACUCUGGAUUAGCUAGUUGGGAAGGUAACGGCUUACCAAGGCAACGAUGCAUAGCCGACCUGAGAGGUGGAUCGGCCACACUGGAACUGAGACACGGUCCAGACUCCUACGGGAGGCAGCAGUGGGUAAUAUUCCGCAAUGGGCGAAAGCCUGAUGGAGCCAUGCCGCGUGUGUGAUGAAGGUCUGAGGAUCGUAAAACUCUGUCAUUAGGGAAGCGGUACCUAAUCAGAAAGCAACGGCUAACUACGUGCCAGCAGCCGCGGUAAUAC